UUCAGCCGAUAGAUCUGCGCCCCUUGGCGGCCCUGCUCCACUUCCUACAAUGGAUCCCGCACUGCUCCAUCACCCCUGACAGGCCACAGUAACGAUCGCAGCCCUGCUCCACUCUCUGCGGCGGACCCUGCGCGACCCCAUUACUCUCUGACAGGCUGUAUCAACGGUCAUGAUUCUGCUCCGCUCCCUGCGGCAGGUGCUGCGUGACUCCACUACUUCAUGGCAGGCCGCAAUAACGGCCACGAUCCUGCUCCACUUCCAGCAACGGAUACCGCACGAUUCUCCCCUCCGUUGGCAAGUCACGACAAUGGACGCUGCUCCACUCCUCGCAACUGAUUCCACGUGGCGAGCUACGACGAUAGCCACGAUUCCGCUCCACUACCCUUCGCAAUAAAGUCCCCCUGACUACGGGCGGCCCACUACCAGACGGUUACAAACGUCGCCAUCAAUCCUUUACCUCCUCCGCCUAUAAAAGGGGGACCCAGAUACGUUAUUCUCUAAGCUCAUUUCUUAUCUCAAAACUCUGCUGAAUUCUCCGUUCGAGCGCUCCAUUCUUGUUGAGGCAGAGAACUGACUUGAGCAUCGGAGGGUCUUGCCGGAGCAACCCCACCUCCGGUUUAGACUUUCCUUGCAGGUCCCGGCGGCGACCGCGGCUUCCCCGACUCCAGCUUCUCUGGCGCAAGCG
rnacentral:lncRNA from 1 species